AUAAAAUAAUCAAGGACCCCAAUGGGUUCUGGUCUCAGAAGAUGGAGGUCAUGGACCACCAGUGGCCUAUUGUAAGGAUUCAAUGAGCUCAUUCAUGUAAAGAAUUUGCACAAACCCUGAACACAGAGAUCAUCUCAUGUCUGGAAAACUUAACCGGAGGCAAUGAAGCAGUUAAGUGGUGUAAAUUCUACUGACACUCUCUACCUUCAGCAUACUAAGGAGUAAGGAAGAACAGAAAGGAAAAAGAACUAGA